rnacentral:rRNA from 1 species
UACGUAGGGUGCAAGCGUUAAUCGGAAUUACUGGGCGUAAAGCGUGCGCAGGCGGUUGUGUAAGACAGAUGUGAAAUCCCCGGGCUCAACCUGGGAACUGCAUUUGUGACUGCACAGCUGGAGUGCGGCAGAGGGGGAUGGAAUUCCGCGUGUAGCAGUGAAAUGCGUAGAUAUGCGGAGGAACACCGAUGGCGAAGGCAAUCCCCUGGGCCUGCACUGACGCUCAUGCACGAAAGCGUGGGGAGCAAAAGGG